rnacentral:rRNA from 1 species
CUGCAUGUCGAGCGGAGCCACUGUAACUGAACCUUCAGGGGACGUUAAGGGCGUCUAGCGGCGGACGGGUGAGUAAUGCCUGGGAAAUUGCCCUGAUGUGGGGGAUAACCAUUGGAAACGAUGGCUAAUACCGCAUAAUAACUUCGGCUCGCACAGGGGGACCUUCGGGCCUCUCGCGUCAGGAUAUGCCCAGGUGGGAUUACCUACUUGGUGAGGUAAGGGCUCACCAAGGCAACAAUCCCUAGCUGGUCUGAGAAGAUGAUCACCCACACUGGACCUGAGACACGGUCCAGACUCCUACUGUAGGCAGCGAUGGGGAAUAUUGCACAAUGGGCGCACGCCUGAUGCAACCGUGCCCCGUGCAUGAACAACGCCUUCGGGUUGUAAAGUACUUUCAGCAGUGAGGAAGGUGGUGUCAUUAAUACCGGCUUCACUUGACGUUAGCUGCAUAAGAAGCCCCGGCUAACUCCGUGCCAGCCACCGCGGUAAUACGGAGGGUGCGAGCGUUAAUCGGAAUUACUGGGCGUAUUGCGCAUGCAGGUGGUUCGUUAAGUCAGAUGUGAAACCCCGGGGCUCAACCUCGGAAUAGCAUUUGAAACUGGCGGACUAGAGUACUGUAGAGGGGGGUAAAAUCGCAGGUUUAGGGGUGAACAUGCGUGGAGA